UACGUAGGGUGCAAGCGUUAAUCGGAAUUACUGGGCGUAAAGCGUGCGCAGGCGGUUAUGCAAGACAGAUGUGAAAUCCCCGGGCUUAACCUGGGAACCGCAUUUGUGACUGCAUAGCUGGAGUACGGCAGAGGGGGAUGGAAUUCCGCGUGUAGCAGUGAAAUGCGUAGAUAUGCGGAGGAACACCGAUGGCGAAGGCAGUCCCCUGGGCCUGUACUGACGCUCAUGCACGAAAACGUGGGGAGCAAACAGG
rnacentral:rRNA from 1 species